rnacentral:rRNA from 1 species
GUGCCAGCAGCCGCGGUAAUACGUAGGGGGCUAGCGUUAUCCGGAAUUACUGGGCGUAAAGGGUGCGUAGGUGGUUUCUUAAGUCAGUGGUGAAAGGCUACGGCUCAACCGUAGUAAGCCUUUGAAACUGGGAAACUUGAGUGCAGGAGAGGAGAGUGGAAUUCCUAGUGUAGCGGUGAAAUGCGUAGAUAUUAGGAGGAACACCAGUUGCGAAGGCGGCUCUCUGGACUGUAACUGACGCUGAGGCACGAAAGCGUGGGGAGCA